AAAGGAAUCAAGGAUUUCUUCCAGUCCACCUGGGAAGUUAGCUGUGUAGUUAAAACUCUAGACUCCAUGCCUGUUUUCCAAACCACAGAUAUGCUUGGUUUAUGCAGUGGUGUGACGUAAGCACCAUUAUGCACGUGCACAGCAGAGAUGAUCUGAAACAUCCAUCCCCUCUCCUCAAGCCUCCUCUGGAUAGAGGAAUCAGAUCUCAAAUGGUUAGCUCCUCAAGAAUGUCUUCCCUAACUUCCCGACCAGGACAAAUCUUCCUACACCUGGUGUCAUCAGACCAUGCUUCUUCAGGGCACAUACCACAUUGUAACUUUUUGUUGUUGUUGUUGUUCUCCUAAGGAAGUGUCACUUAAACCACAUUGUAUCUUUUACACAUAUUUGCAUGCUUAGAUUUCUCUCUAAAUAACCCACCAAGCUGAAAAAUGCAUGAGGCCCAGUCAUUACCUCCCUUUUCCCACCUCUGCAAUCCCAAGCUCAGCACAGAGCCUGGAAAGGAGAAGACACUCAAGCCCCCAAGCGCUUUAAAGCAGAAACAAGCAUUCCCCACUGUGUCUUGCCAGGAUUCUGGAUUCACAGAAAGUACAUGAAAUAAGAAAUAUUUAUUGUUUGAAGCCACCAACUUUUGGGGUAGUUAUACAGCAAUAAAUACACAGGGUAUUAUUUUCCUAUUCUUUGC
rnacentral:lncRNA from 13 species